rnacentral:rRNA from 1 species
GACGAACGCUGGCGGCGUGCCUAAUACAUGCAAGUAGAACGCUGAAGAGAGGAGCUUCCUCUUCUUGGCUGAGUUGCGAACGGGUGAGUAACGCGUAGGUAACCUGCCUUGUAGCGGGGGAUAACUAUUGGAAACGAUAGCUAAUACCGCAUAACAAUGGAUGACACAUGUCAUUUAUUUGAAAGGGGCAAUUGCUCCACUACAAGAUGGACCUGCGUUGUAUUAGCUAGUAGGUGAGGUAAUGGCUCACCUAGGCGACGAUACAUAGCCGACCUGAGAGGGUGAUCGGCCACACUGGGACUGAGACACGGCCCAGACUCCUACGGGAGGCAGCAGUAGGGAAUCUUCGGCAAUGGGGGCAACCCUGACCGAGCAACGCCGCGUGAGUGAAGAAGGUUUUCGGAUCGUAAAGCUCUGUUGUAAGUCAAGAACGGGUGUGAGAGUGGAAAGUUCACACUGUGACGGUAGCUUACCAGAAAGGGACGGCUAACUACGUG